rnacentral:misc_RNA from 1 species
UAAUAAGCGUUUGACAGGUGC